rnacentral:rRNA from 1 species
AACGAACGCUGGCGGCAGGCUUAACACAUGCAAGUCGAACGCACCUUUCGGGGUGAGUGGCAGACGGGUGAGUAACGCGUGGGAAUCUACCCUUCUCUACGGGAUAGCUCCGGGAAAUUGGAAUUAAUACCGUAUACGUCCUGAGGGAGAAAGAUUUAUCGGGGAAGGAUGAGCCCGCGUUGGAUUAGCUAGUUGGUGGGGUAAAGGCCUACCAAGGCGACGAUCCAUAGCUGGUCUAAGAGGAUGAUCAGCCACAUUGGGACUGAGACACGGCCCAAACUCCUACAGGAGGCAGCAGUGGGGAAUAUUGGACAAUGGGCGCAAGCCUGAUCCAGCCAUGCCGCGUGAGUGAUGAAGGCCCUAGGGUUGUAAAGCUCUUUCAGUGGGGACGAUAAUGACGGUACCCACAGAAGAAGCCCCGGCUAACUUCGUG